rnacentral:rRNA from 1 species
CUACUACCGAUUGAAUGGCUCAGUGAGGCUUUCGGACCGGCCCAGAGAGAGUGGCUAACACUCACUCAGGGCUGGAAAGUUGUACAAACUUGGUCAUUUAGAGGAAGUAAAAGUCGUAACAAGGUU